rnacentral:rRNA from 1 species
AUGGCUUUCCUGAACAUGGAGCAGCACACCUGGGCCUUCACCUUCGGUAUCCUAGGCAACAUCAUCUCACUGAUGGUCUUCCUUUCACCACUCCCGACGUUCUACCGUGUGUACCGCAAGAAGUCGACGGAGGGGUUCCAGUCGACGCCCUACCUGGUGACGCUCUUCAGCUGCCUGCUGUGGAUGUACUACGCCUUCCUCAAGUCCGGCUCCGAGCUCCUCCUCACCAUCAACGCCGUCGGCUGCGUCAUCGAGAGCCUCUACAUCGCCAUGUACCUGGUCUACGCCCCCAAGAGCGCCAGGCUCCUCACCGCCAAGCUCUUCAUUGGCCUCGACGUCGGCCUCUUCGGCCUCAUCGCCCUCGUCACCAUGCUGGCGUCGCACGGCACCCUCCGCGUCCAGGUCGUCGGCUGGAUCUGCGUCGCCGUCGCGCUCGGCGUCUUCGCGGCUCCCUUGAGCAUCAUCAGGCUUGUGAUCCGUACCAAGAGCGUGGAGUUCAUGCCCUUCUCGCUGUCCUUCUUCCUGGUUCUCAGCGCCGUCAUCUGGUUCGCAUACGGCGCGCUCAAGAAGGACAUCUUCGUGGCGAUGCCCAACGUGCUGGGCUUCUUGUUCGGCGUGGCGCAGAUGGCGCUUUACAUGGCGUACCGGAACAAGAAGCCCGCCACCGUGGUACUGGUGCACGAGGAGAUGAAGCUGCCAGAGCACGUCAAGGAGGUGGCCGGCGGCGCCAAGCAGGGCGGCGCGCCCACCGAGGGGAGGAUCAGCUGCGGCGCCGAGGUGCACCCCAUUGACGUGCUCCCUGCCGUGGCCGACGAGCAAGCCGCCGCAGCGGCCGACGAAGACGUGAUCCGCGACGACCAGAACAUGCUCAGGCCAGAGCAGCCGGCGGUCAUCAAGCCUGACGUCGCCAUUGUCGUCCAGGCGUAG